UUGAUCCUGGCUCAGGAUGAACGCUGGCGGCGUGCCUAAUACAUGCAAGUCGAGCGAACAGAUAAGGAGCUUGCUCCUUUGACGUUAGCGGCGGACGGGUGAGUAACACGUGGAUAACCUACCUAUAAGACUGGGAUAACUUCGGGAAACCGGAGCUAAUACCGGAUAAGAUUUUGAACCGCAUGGUUCAAUAGUGAAAGACGGCCUUGCUGUCACUUAUAGAUGGAUCCGCGCCGUAUUAGCUAGUUGGUAAGGUAACGGCUUACCAAGGCAACGAUACGUAGCCGACCUGAGAGGGUGAUCGGCCACACUGGAACUGAGACACGGUCCAGACUCCUACGGGAGGCAGCAGUAGGGAAUCUUCCGCAAUGGGCGAAAGCCUGACGGAGCAACGCCGCGUGAGUGAUGAAGGUCUUCGGAUCGUAAAACUCUGUUAUCAGGGAAGAACAAACGUGUAAGUAACUGUGC
rnacentral:rRNA from 1 species